UACGGAGGGGGCUAGCGUUGUUCGGAAUUACUGGGCGUAAAGCGCACGUAGGCGGCUUUGUAAGUUAGAGGUGAAAAGCCCGGGGCUCAACUCCGGAAUUGCCUUUAAGACUGCAUCGCUAGAAUUGUGGAGAGGUAAGUGGAAUUCCGAGUGUAGAGGUGAAAUUCGUAGAUAUUCGGAAGAACACCAGUGGCGAAGGCGACUUACUGGACACAUAUUGACGCUGAGGUGCGAAAGCGUGGGGAGCAAACAGG
rnacentral:rRNA from 1 species